GACGUAGGGGGCCAGCGUUGUUCGGAAUUACUGGGUGUAAAGGGUUCGUAGGCGGUGUGGCAAGUCGGGGGUGAAAUCUCUGGGCUCAACCCAGAGUCUGCUUCCGAAACUGCUGUGCUUGAGUGUGGGAGAGGCGCGUGGAAUUGCAGGUGUAGCGGUGAAAUGCGUAGAUAUCUGCAGGAACACCCGUGGCGAAAGCGGCGCGCUGGACCACUACUGACGCUGAGGAACGAAAGCUAGGGGAGCAAACAGG
rnacentral:rRNA from 1 species